GAGGGAAAAUGGUAAUGAUAGGGGGAAUAAAAUUAGAGGGAUAUAGGGUAUGGAGUGCAAAUAGGGGAUAUUUGGUGUGUAAGGAGUACAAAUUCUUUUAUAAAAUCCCUAUUAUCUAAAGAAAAGGAGACAAAAAGUAUUCCAAACCUCUUUGACCAUCAUCAUCUAUUAGUACAUGAUGCAACUAUACAUUAAAACAAUAUUGUCAUAUUUUUUGAAAUUUUGUCAAUAUCUAUG
rnacentral:lncRNA from 1 species